rnacentral:misc_RNA from 1 species
GAUGAAGAACGCAGCGAAAUGCGAUAAUUAAUGUGAAUUGCAGAAUUUAGUGAAUCAUCGAAUCUUUGAACGCACAUUGCGCCCCUUGGUAUUCCGGGGGGCAUGCCUGUUCGAGCGUCAUUUCAACCCUCAAGCUCUGCUUGGUCUUGGGCCGCGCCGGCAACGGCGGGCCUCAGAAACAGUGGCGGCGCCAUCUGGUCCCUCAGCGUAGUAAUUCUUCUCGCUGCUGGGCCCCGGUGGCCGCUUGCCAGCAACCCCAAACUUUCUAUGGUUGACCUCGGAUCAGGUAGGGAUACCCGCUGAACUUAAGCAUAUCAAUAAGCGGAGGA